rnacentral:rRNA from 1 species
ACAUGCCUACAACAUAUUUUUAAUGCACCCGAUCCAAUUAGAACUCCACAGUUAAGCAUGCUUAGGAUAGAGUAGUACUGGGAUGGGUGACCGCCCAGGAAGUCGUAGUGUUUUACAUGCC